rnacentral:rRNA from 1 species
UGUUAUCGGGUUCGACUAAGCCUGCGAGUCCAGGGGGGCUUUGCCCACCGGCGGACGGCUCAGUAACACGUGGACAACCUGCCCUCGGGAGGGGGAUAACCCCGGGAAACUGGGACUAAACCCCCAUAGGCCAUGGAGGCUGGAAGGCGCCAUGGCUGAAAUUCCGCAAGGAGCCCGAGGAUGGGUCUGCGGCCUAUCAGGUUGUAGUGGGGGUAACGGCCCCACUAGCCUACGACGGGUACGGCCCUGAGAGGGGGAGCCCGGAGAUGGACUCUGAGACACGAGUCCAGGCCCUACGGGGCGCAGCAGGCGCGAAAACUCCGCAAUGCUCGAAAGAGCGACGGGGGAACUCCGAGUGCCUACGCUUUGCGUAGGCUUUUCCUGAGCCUAAAAAGCUCAGNGGAAUAAGGGCUGNGUAAGACGGGUGCCAGCCGCCGCGGUAAUACCCGCAGCUCGAGUGGUGGCCGCUAUUAUUGGGCCUAAAGCGUCCGUAGCCGGUUUGGUAAAUGCCUGGGUAAAUCGUAGAGCUCAACUCUACGGCUCCCAGGUAGACUGCCAGACUCGGGACCGGAGGAGGGAGAGGGUACUCCAGGGGUAGGGGUGAAAUCAGCAAGGUGAGUUUCUAAGGUAACUUGCCUUGCAAGUCACAAUCCUGUAAUCCCUGGAGGACCACCGGUGGCGAAGGCGCUCUCCUAGGACGGGUCCGACGGUGAGGGACGAAAGCCAGGGGAGCAAACCGGAUUAGAUACCCGGGUAGUCCUGGCCGUAAACGAUGUGGACUUGGUAUUGGGAUGGCUACGAGCUGUCCCAGUGCCGUAGGGAAGCCGUUAAGUCCACCGCCUGGGGAGUACGGUCGCAAGGCUGAAACUUAAAGGAAUUGGCGGGGGAGCACCGCAACGGGAGGAGCGUGCGGUUUAAUUGGAUUCAACGCCGGAAAGCUUACCAGGGGAGACUGCCAGAUGUGGGCCAGGCUGAAGACCUUGCCCGAACAAUAGGCAGAGAGGUGGUGCAUGGCCGUCGUCAGCUCGUACCGUAAGGCGUUCUGUUAAGUCAGGUAACGAGCGAGACCCCCGCCCUUAGUUGCGAUCUGUUCCUCCGGGGACAGAGCACACUAAGGGGACUGCCGGCGAUAAGCUGGAGGAAGGAGGGGGCAACGGUAGGUCAGUAUGCCCUGAAUCCCCUGGGCUACACGCGCGCUACAAAGGCUGGGACAAUGGGUUGCGAUGCCGAAAGGCAAAGCUAAUCCCUAAACCCAGUCGUAG